rnacentral:tRNA from 1 species
GCCCUGGUAGUCUAGUGGUUAAGAUUCAGCACUCUCACCGCUGUGGCCUGGGUUAGGUUCCUGGUCAGGGAA